rnacentral:rRNA from 1 species
UACAGAGGUCUCAAGCGUUGUUCGGAUUCAUUGGGCGUAAAGAGCGCGCAGGCGGCUUGGUAAGUCGGAUGUGAAAUCCCGAGGCUCAACCUCGGGUCUGCAUUCGAUACGGGCAGGCUAGAGUGUGGUAGGGGAGACUGGAAUUCCUGGUGUAGCGGUGGAAUGCGCAGAUAUCAGGAGGAACACCGAUGGCGAAGGCAGGUCUCUGGGCCACUACUGACGCUGAGAAGCGAAAGCAUGGGGAGCGAACAGG